GGCCGAUUCCAAAAGUGUAGGAACCGCGGGUACUCGGACUGGCCCGUGUGUGUUACAAUGGACGGACGAGAUUUAAGAUACAUCUCUCCAUCCAAUCUCAACCGUCAGUUUCAACCUAGCCAAUUCCACCUCUCGAGUUCGAGAAGCACCCUCUCAGACUUCAGUUUCUCAGAUUCUCACUCUCUUCAUUCUCUCAGAUUCUCACUCUCCCUCGACUCCCUCGACUCCCUCUCCCUAUCCCUUCCUUCCCUCGACUUCAACUCUCAUACUCUUUCACUCUCACUCACACACUUACUCUCACAGUGCUCACCGCCGUCGGCACCAACUCUCAGACUCUCACAGUGCUGUCGCGACCAACACAACGGCACCACCUUUGCCGUCGUGACCACCAUCAUCACCCCAUCACCACCACCGUUGCGACCACCUGCUGCUACUAAAAUUUAGGCACUCCAUGGACUGAAGAGGAACAUACUAACUACAUAGCUUGGUAAAGGUGAUUGGCUGACGAUAUAGGUGCCAGCAUUGGUCUUCUUUAAAUUGAAAAUAAGUGAUUUAGUUUAGACUUACAUUUACCAUGGGUAGUGAGUUUAAUUGUUCGCUCUUUAUGCCCAUUUGCUCUUUAUGGUUAAUUGUGUUCACUCUGUUCAUAGUUUUUUUGCUUAGUUAACUCAGCAUUUUAGUUACUAUAUAGUUAUUUGUUGGAGAUUUUGGUAGUGAGUUUUUUAAGUGAUCUGAUAAUUCGGUUUUCGACUUUGCGCAUAUUUAGGUGAACUUGAUCAUGGGUUUUGGAUUUUUUGUAUAAAUAAGGGAAUCUGAUAUUGGAUUAAUGAUAUUUGUGUAUAUUUUUGGUGAA